rnacentral:rRNA from 1 species
UUCCCAGACUCCUACGGGAGGCAGCAGUGGGGAAUAUUGCACAAUGGGGGAAACCCUGAUGCAGCAACGCCGCGUGAGUGAAGAAGUAUUUCGGUAUGUAAAGCUCUAUCAGCAGGGAAGAGAAUGACGGUACCUGACUAAGAAGCCCCGGCUAACUACGUGCCAGCAGCCGCGGUAAUACGUAGGGGGCAAGCGUUAUCCGGAUUUACUGGGUGUAAAGGGAGCGUAGACGGCGAUGCAAGUCUGAAGUGAAAGGCGGGGGCCCAACCCCCGGACUGCUUUGGAAACUGUAUGGCUGGAGUGCAGGAGAGGUAAGUGGAAUUCCUAGUGUAGCGGUGAAAUGCGUAGAUAUUAGGAGGAACACCAGUGGCGAAGGCGGCCUGCUGGACUGCAACUGACGUUGAGGCUCGAAGGCGUGGGGAGCAAACAGGAUUAGAUACCCUAGUA